GCACAGAUGGCCGAGAGGUCUAAGGCGACAAGUUUAAGAUUGUAUUCUACCUUGUUGGGGAAACCCGCGCGAGUUCGAACCUCGCUCUGUGCA